rnacentral:rRNA from 1 species
UACAGAGGGUGCAAGCGUUAUUCGGAAUUAUUGGGCGUAAAGAGCGUGUAGGCGGUCUGAUAAGUCUGGUGUGAAAUCCCUGGACUCAAUCCAGGAAGUGCACCGGAUACUGUUAGACUAGAGUACAGGAGAGGAGAGCGGAAUUCCUGGUGUAGAGGUGAAAUUCGUAGAUAUCAGGAGGAACAACAGGGGCGAAGGCGGCUCUCUGGACUGUCACUGACGCUGAUGCGCGAAAGCGUGGGGAGCAAACAGG